GAUGAACGCUGGCGGCAUGCCUAACACAUGCAAGUCGAUCGGUAAGGCUCUUCGGAGUACACGAGAGGCGGACGGCUGAGUAACGCGUAGGAACACACCCUGCAGUGAGGGAUAGGACACCGAAAGGUGUUCUAAUACCGCAUACGGUCUUCGGAUUAAAGCAUUUAUGCGCUGAAGGAGUGGCCUGCGUCAUAUUAGAUAGUUGGUGAGGUAAUGGCUCACCAAGUCGAUGAUGUGUAGCUGGUCUGAGAGGAUGAUCAGCCAGACUGGAACUGAGACACGGUCCAGACUCCUACGGGAGGCAGCAGUGAGGAAUAUUUCACAAUGAGCGAAAGCUUGAUGGAGCAAUGCCGCGUGCAGGAUGAAGGCCCUCGGGUUGUAAACUGCUUUUAUAAGAGAAGAUUAUGACGGUAACUUAUGAAUAAGGGACGGCUAACUACGUG
rnacentral:rRNA from 1 species